GCGGACACCUGGAGCUGUCAGAUGCGUUCUCUUCUAAAUUACUUUUUUUUUCUUGAGCAAUCUAUAAGCAUUUUUCUUGCCAGUUUUAAUUACCGAGUAGUAUAGAAAAUAUUGGUAUACCUCAAUUUUCAUGAGAAGCAAUCCAGAGUUUCUGAUAUGAUGCCUUUGUUCAUGAUUUCAGGUACUGGGAUACCUUUUUCUGCCUUUUCGGCAACACUGGACUGUGAACAGUUUCCUGUAGGAUCCCCACAAAAGAGUUAAAUGUAAGAACACAAAUGACAGCCACAAUUCCAUAACCAACAGAAGAUUUCUAAACAGCUCUUCCUAUUUCCUCAUUGUUAUCAAGGAGACUAAAACUACACAUGCAAAAUGAACGAAUUUCAGUGUUCACAGAAUCACAGAAUUGUUGGAGUUGGAAGGGAC